GGGGUUCCACGACUUCAGCCUAUCGCCUCUCUUUUCUUCUCUCGACCUAAUACCUAUCAUUUCAGUCUCUCUCUUUCUUCUCUUCGUCAAUCUUCUCAGUUUUCUCUUCGUCAUCGAGAAUUCGAGAUUGUCAAGAAGACUGCCAAGGACUGGAAGGGUCGUCAGUCCUCUCAGUUUUCUCGUCGUCUCUAGUCUCCGCCGCUGCUCUGGUCAUCUAGGCCCUCAAAGAGCUAGAUCGCGACCUCAAGGUCUAGAACAUCAAGCACAGCGGCAAGCUGACAAUGAGGACCUGAGCGGGACCGCCGCUUUACCCGCACCUUUAUUCUUCUUCAUACUCUGCACUUCUGCAGAUCCAGAGCCUCUCUCUCUCUAUCUCUAUAUCUGUAUAUAUCUAUAGAUCUUUCUACCUCUAUUUGAUUCUAAUUGAUAUUAAUAGUUUUGUAAUUAGUAAAAAUUGAGAUGAAGGUGUUUGCUGCAGAUCCAGCUUUACUGCUGAAAACAUCAAGCAGCCCCGGGAAUCUGGGGUUGUAAAGGUGCAGUCAAGAAAGAAAGCAGAGAUCUUUUUAGUACAAACAGAUGGAUUCUCUUGUACCUGAGAAAAAGUGUGGGAGACUUAACUUGCAAAUCCUACAAUUGUGAAAACUAAUUAACUACUAUCAGUACCUUUGUAGUGCCAUCCAGCAUAUUUAGCAUUCAAAGUUCAUUUGCCAAGGCAGAUAUGUCAUCAUAAUGAGAUCUCAUCUAGCAUCAUCAUUCAUCAGAUCAUAAUGCUCAAAAGAAAUCAUAUUUUCUUUUGGCCAAAAGUAAAAAGAUAUCUACAAAAAGAAAAUGUGAAUGUACUCAUAGAGAGAUGAAGUAACGUCUUGCAUGCCAUGUUAACGAAAAAUAAAAUAGGACAGAAAGAGGGGGUAGGGAAAAAGAUAAUAUUUUACUAAUCUAAUACGUUCUUUUAACUCAUAAACUAAACUGUGAUAGAAAGACAACCUCAUGCCUCAAAAAGUUGCAUCAAAUAUUGAUCCACAAGAUAAUGUUUUAGUGUACUCAAUCUGAAGCAAAAACACAUCUAUGCUAAUUUAGGCUUUUCUUCUGUAAAUCUUUAUGCUUUUGCAGGUGAAAAAUGAUGCAACCACUAAUGGUUUUUGUUUUUGUUACUGGCCUUUGCUAACUCUGUUGAUAGAUUACGGUUCAGCAGCAAUGGGACAGAACCCAACGGAGGCUGAGCUCUAAGAUAUGAUCAAUGAAGUGGUGUUAAUGGAUUUUUAACUUCCAAGCAUUCAUUUGAUUAAUUGUAAUCUAUAUAUGUUGGUCAUUGUAGAUAAUCAUUUUUGCUAGAUUUUGGAUUUAGGUGUUGCUGGCUGUUGGUGGUUUGUGUUGAAUUAUGCUAGUUAUAAGUUAUACCUUAACAGUCUGCAA